UAAUACCGGAUAUGAGCCUUGAUCGCAUGAUCGGGGCUGGAAAGUUUUUCGGUUGAAGAUGACUUCGCGGCCUAUCAGCUUGUUGGUGAGGUAAUGGCUCACCAAGGCGACGACGGGUAGCCGGCCUGAGAGGGCGACCGGCCACACUGGGACUGAGACACGGCCCAGACUCCUACGGGAGGCAGCAGUGGGGAAUAUUGGGCAAUGGAGGAAACUCUGACCCAGCGACGCCGCGUGCGGGAUGAAGGCCUUCGGGUUGUAAACCGCUUUCAGUAGGGAAGAAGCGAAAGUGACGGUACCUACAAAAGAAGCACCGGCUAACUAUGUGCCAGCAGCCGCGGUAAUACAUAGGGUGCAAGCGUUGUCCGGAAUUAUUGGGCGUAAAGAGCUCGUAGGUCGUUUGUUACGUCGGAUGUGAAAACCUGAGGCUCAACCUCAGGCCUGCAUUCGAUACGGGCAAACUAGAGUUUGGUAGGGGAGACUGGAAUUCCUGGUGUAGCGGUGGAAUGCGCAGAUAUCAGGAGGAACACCAAUGGCGAAGGCAGGUCUCUGGGCCAAUACUGACACUGAGGAGCGAAAGUCUGGGGAGCGAACAGGAUUAGAUACCCUGGUAGUCCAGACCGUA
rnacentral:rRNA from 1 species